rnacentral:tRNA from 1 species
GCCCAAGUGGCGGAAUGGUAGACGCAGGGGAUUCAAAAUCCCCCGCUUUAACGGGCGUGCCGGUUCGAGUCCGGCCUUGGGUACCA